GAUGAACGCUGGCGGCGUGCCUAAUACAUGCAAGUCGAGCGAACGGACGAGAAGCUUGCUUCUCUGAUGUUAGCGGCGGACGGGUGAGUAACACGUGGAUAACCUACCUAUAAGACUGGGAUAACUUCGGGAAACCGUAGCUAAUACCGGAUAAUAUUUUGAACCGCAUGGUUCAAAAGUGAAAGACGGUCUUGCUGUCACUUAUAGAUGGAUCCGCGCUGCAUUAGCUAGUUGGUAAGGUAACGGCUUACCAAGGCAACGAUGCAUAGCCGACCUCAGAGGGUGAUCGGCCACACGGGAACUGAGACACGGGCCAGACUCCUACGGGAGGCAGCAGUAGGGAAUCUUGCGCAAUGGGCGAAAGCCUGACUGAGCAACGCCGCGUGAGUGAUGAAGGUCUUCGGAUCGUAAAACUCUGUUAUUAGGGAAGAACAUAUGUGUAAGUAACUGUGCACAUCUUGACGGUACCUAAUCAGAAAGCCACGGCUAACUACGUG
rnacentral:rRNA from 1 species